rnacentral:rRNA from 1 species
AGUGAACGCUGGCGGUAGGCCUAACACAUGCAAGUCGAACGGCAGCACAGGAGAGCUUGCUCUCUGGGUGGCGAGUGGCGGACGGGUGAGGAAUACAUCGGAAUCUACUCUGUCGUGGGGGAUAACGUAGGGAAACUUACGCUAAUACCGCUUACGACCUACGGGUGAAAGCAGGGGACCUUCGGGCCUUGCGCGAAUGAAGGAGCCGAUGUCGGAUUAGCUAGUUGGCGGGGUAAAGGCCCGCCAAGGCGACGAUCCGUAGCUGGUCUGAGAGGAUGAUCAGCCACACUGGAACUGAGACACGGUCCAGACUCCUACGGGAGGCAGCAGUGGGGAAUAUUGGACAAUGGGCGCAAGCCUGAUCCAGCCAUACCGCGUGGGUGAAGAAGGCCUUCGGGUUGUAAAGCCCUUUUGUUGGGAAAGAAAUCCAGCUGGCUAAUACCCGGUUGGGAUGACGGUACCCAAAGAAUAAGCACCGGCUAACUUCGUGCCAGCAGCCGCCGUAA